rnacentral:rRNA from 1 species
UGGGGAAUCUUCCGCAAUGGACGAAAGUCUGACGGAGCAACGCCGCGUGAGUGAAGACGGCCUUCGGGUUGUAAAGCUCUGUGAUCCGGGACGAAAGAGCCUUGGGUAAAUAGCCUAAGGAAGUGACGGUACCGGAAAAGCAAGCCACGGCUAACUACGUGCCAGCAGCCGCGGUAAUACGUAGGUGGCAAGCGUUGUCCGGAAUUAUUGGGCGUAAAGCGCGCGCAGGCGGCUUCCUAAGUCCAUCUUAAAAGUGCGGGGCUUAACCCCGUGAUGGGAUGGAAACUGGGAAGCUGGAGUAUCGGAGAGGAAAGUGGAAUUCCUAGUGUAGCGGUGAAAUGCGUAGAGAUUAGGAGGAACACCGGUGGCGAAAGCGGCUUUUUGGCCUGCAACUGACACUGAGGCGCGAAAGCGUGGGGAGCAAACAGG